AACCUGCCUUUCAGAGGGGGAGUAACAUCUGGAAACAGAUGCUAAUACCGCAUAAGAUUACAGUACCGCAUGAUACAGUGAUCAAAGGAGCAAUCCGCUGAAAGAUGGGCUCGCGUCCGAUUAGAUAGUUGGUGAGGUAACGGCUCACCAAGUCGACGAUCGGUAGCCGGACUGAGAGGUUGAACGGCCACAUUGGGACUGAGACACGGCCCAG
rnacentral:rRNA from 1 species